CCUACGGGAGGCAGCAGUCGAGAAUCAUUCACAAUGGGGGAAACCCUGAUGGUGCGACGCCGCGUGGGGGAAUGAAGGUCUUCGGAUUGUAAACCCCUGUCAUGUGGGAGCAAAUUAAAAAGAUAGUACCACAAGAGGAAGAGACGGCUAACUCUGUGCCAGCAGCCGCGGUAAUACAGAGGUCUCAAGCGUUGUUCGGAAUCACUGGGCGUAAAGCGUGCGUAGGCUGUUUCGUAAGUCGUGUGUGAAAGGCGCGGGCUCAACCCGCGGACGGCACAUGAUACUGCGAGACUAGAGUAAUGGAGGGGGAACCGGAAUGCUCGGUGUAGCAGUGAAAUGCGGAGAUAUCGAGAGGAACACUCGUGGCGAAGGCGGGUUCCUGGACAUUAACUGACGCUGAGGCACGAAGGCCAGGGGAGCGAAAGGGAUUAGAUACCCGUGUAGUC
rnacentral:rRNA from 1 species